AUUGAACGCUGGCGGCAGGCCUAACACAUGCAAGUCGAGCGAGCGGCGGACGGGUGAGUAAUUUAUGGGGACUGCCCUUUAGAGGGGGAUAACUACUGGAACCGGUGGCUAAUACCGCAUACUAUCGGAUAACCCAUAUGGGAUUAGCUAGUAGGUGGGUUAAAGGCUCCCCUAGUCGGCGAUCUCUAGCUGGUCUGAGAGGAUGAUCAGCCACACUGGGACUUAGACACGGCCCAGACUCCUACGGCGGCAGCAGGGGGGAAUAUUGCACAAUGGGCGCAAGCCUUAUUAAGCCAUGCCGCGUGUAUGAAGAAGGCCGUAGGGUUGUAAAGUACUUUCAGCGGGGAGGCGUUACCCGCAGAAGAAGCACCGGCUAACUCCGUGCCAGCAGCCGCGGUAAUUC
rnacentral:rRNA from 1 species